AGCAUAUGUCACUUUCAGAAAUAAAAACAUGCUCUCAAGAGGAGAUACUAAAAGGGAAGCGAGAGAGGAGAGAAAUUAAGAUAUUUGCUUAUGGUGAAAGACAAUGACAAGUCUGGAUGAGUGGAUUAGAUACGCACAAAGAAACUGUUGUCCAAUAACAGUUGUCAGGAAUAAUAUUAAACAGAUGAAUGCUAAAAGCUUCUAUCAUAGAAGGAAGACUGCAUUGAGAAGACAGAAGCACUUUGUGCCAUGAAAACUAUGUGUGUUGUAAAGUAUUUAAUUCUAUCACUGUGGUUGUCUGCUUGGUUCAUGGUUUCUAGUGUAAGUAAUUAUUUCAUUCUGAUUGCCACUGCCCUCUUUUCUUCAACUGAUCUUCAUCUUUCUCCUCCACUGAUGGAAAUUGUUUGGUAUAUGGAUUUAUUGAUAUCUGUAAGAUAUAAACACUAAUCAAAUGGUCUCCAGCCUGAUAAUUAAGCAAAUAGUUUCUAAUCUAAUUAUAGUGUGUGGUCAGCUUUCAGCGGGAAGCGGUUAGCAUACCGCCAGUCGGGAUCCCAGCGAUCACAAUACAGACGCCAGAAUCCCGACAAGUAGUGAAAUGCAGAUGCAGGAAUACCAGCGACACAGGCUAUUCUUCCUCCGUGGGAGUCCAUGACACGGAUAGAGAAUAUAACCUGUUGCGAGCGCAGCAAGCCACCGUGCCACGGCGUGGCGAGCACAGCGAGCCCACAAAGAGCUUUCUAGCACUCGCACAACCAUACUGGUGGCCAGGAUGCCGAUGUUGGUAUAUACUGACGGCCGGCAUCCCGGCCGCCAGUAUAUCAAUAUGAAUCCCUUUCAACAACCUGAUACGUUUUAGAGUACUGUCAUUGGUUUGCAAUACUCUAUGCUCACUGUCCUAUUACAGUAGAGAGCACCCAAUACACAGCUGCACUUUACACCUCAUCCCCUGGAUGAAGUACACUAAUUAGAUCAUCUGGAUUCCAGUAUCACCUAUGCGGAUAUCAUCAAGAUCUACUUCUCUUCCCCUGACACUCCAGUUCUCUAAUAUCUCUGAUGAGCAACUGUCUCUCUGCUCCAUAAAGAUGUUUCAAUUCUAUCUAAAGCUAAGCUUUUCCAAAUCAUGGCUUAUUACAUAUCAUCCUCCUAGAGACACCACCUCCACUUAAAUCUCCCACAUCAUCACUACCACCUCCUCGUACAUCUCCCACAUCAUCGCCAGCAACUUCACUUACAUCUCCCACAUCAUCGCCACCAACUUCACUUGCAUCUCCCACAUCAUCGCCACCAACUUCACUUAAAUCUCCCAUGUGAUCAAUUUCCCACUACCAAACUCAUUUGAGUCUGUUCUUUGCUUUACGCCUUAUAUUCCAUCCUUGCCUAGUCCAUUUGUUUUCAUCUUCAAAAUAUUGCUAGAAUACAGUGCCCUAGUCUCUCAUCAUCUCCUACCUCAACUACUGGAACUUUCUGUUAAUUGGCAUUCCACUCACUCAUCAUCCUUGUUUCAAAUGUCAAUACAUCUGAAAUGCUGCAGCAAGACUGAUCUUCCUCUGUAACUACUACACAACUACUGCACCAUUCUUCAAAUACCUUUGCUGUCUCCUCAUUUGCUCCAUUUGAAAUAAAUAACUGUUUUGCAGUCUUUCCUCUAUGCUCUACGCAUCCAGGUGCAGUGGGAGCAGGGAUUCAGUAUGAUUUACCGGCGGAUAGGAUGCCAUCUGUCCAUAUCCCAACAGCAGCAUCCUGCCCCCAGAAUUCCGGCAGCAGGGCGAGCGUAAAGAGUCCCUUUGCAGGCUUGGAGACUUGCUGUGCUCGCCACAGAAUCUAUUCCCACUCUAUGGGUGUCGUGGCAAUAGUCCUGCUUUGAUGGGAUUCCAGCUGGCGGCAUUGCCGGCUGUUGGGAUUCCGGCGUCGGUAUCCUGACCGGCGGGAUCCCGACAGCCUGCAAAUUGAACAUAUCCCUGGAGCAGAACAAAGAUUUGGAAACAAACAUUCUGUACUGGAUCAACACAAACUGAACUGUUCUCAUGCAAGAUCUUUGCUGCCAUCCUUCCAUUCAUUAUUUGUGCCAUUUUCAUUUAUGUAGCUGAAAAAUAUUUUAUUCUGUAGUUCUGUACACAAAUAGCAUUUGAAAUGAGAUGAAGAAAA